GCAUUUCAGCGUAUAACUCGUGUUACAAAAAAACAAUUUAGCUCGCUCUUUUUUCAUUUUGUCAACCAGUCGGAGGGCUUGUGAUCAGUGUUUCUACUGUCGAUGCAUAUCGCCUUUUAAACCAACGCACGAAUGCGCAAUAAUCCUAGACAACUCAAUCCAGCUAUACUAAUCAUCAACAACAGGUGUGUCGAAGAACCAACUUAGCCGCAUCGUAGUUAGCACGAUGAUCUCAUCUCAGAUGUGUCAACUCAUCUCGGAUGUGUCAAGCGACGUAUGAAGAACGGACCCCAGGCCUAUUUAAGCAGUACUGAGUGAGACCAACACCUGCAUGGAGAUUCAGAAUGAAAGAGAAACAGAGAAGCCCCAGUACGUAAUUAUGGCCUGUCCAUUUAUUGAAGUCUCUGUGGAUGAUGGUGCACAGAUAUUAGAAAGAGCUUUUAGACCACUAGCCUCAAGGGUCUUUAGGGACAGAGUAAACCCUCUUGCCUUCCCAGAUAACUAUCUAUGUGGGAGACAUAUCGGUUCAGCAGACCCAGCAUAGUCUACCUAUGUGAGCUGUUGGAACCAAACCUCAGCAAACCCACACGGCAAAGUCAAUGCCUGACCACAGUGCAAUCUGUCUGUAUUGCACUGCGUUUCUUUGCCAGUGGGACAUUCCUCUACAGUGUUGGUGAUGCUGAGCAUUUGGCUAAAGCAACUGUAUGCCGUGAAAUAAGGAUGGUCUACCCUGCUCUGAGGCAAUAUUUAUAUCACCUUUCCUGGCCAUCUACCAACACAGAGGAUCAAGGAGAACUUUUAUGCAAUAGCAGGUUUUCCCAAUGUCUUGGGUGCUGUGGACGGCACCCACAUCAGAAUACAGGCCCCAGCUGGACCAACUGAGGCGGACUAUGUGAACAGGAAAUCUUUCCAUAGCCUCAAUGUACAGAUGAUCUGUGACAGCAACUGCCUAAUUACUAAUGUUGAGGCAAAAUGACCAGGCUCUGUCCAUGACUCCAGGAUCUUUCGAGCAUCCUCACUGGCACAGAAGUUUGCCAGGGGCAAGAGAACAUUUCAAACAAGGGUUUUUACUUCACAAGCAUUUUUCAUGGAAACUAGUGAUCAUAAUUUUAAAAGAGAAA